GAGGCGGCGGUCGGCGGUGGCUCGGCGCCACUGUUGUCGCCGGCUGGAGUGAGUAGAGGAAAGAGUGAGACAGAGACGUGGAUCUGGAGCUCGGCGACAGCAGCCUAAUUAGGCUGCGCAGUCGUCGGAAUCGAAGGGGUGGCAUCUGGUAUUUGGGGAUUUAGGGCUUGGAGGCGGCGGCUCGGUCGCCGUUCCGUUCGGAGGCAGAGAGGGAGAUGGAGGUGGCAGCCCAUCGCUGCUGCUUCGUCGAAGAGAAACCGGCGGCGGCUGGGUGCCCCGGUGACUCUGCAUGUGUGUGUGUUUUGUGAGA
rnacentral:lncRNA from 1 species